UAUUUCUUCGCAGCUUCACAGCUUCUGGCGCCUGUCUUUAUCACGAAUCGUUCGCAUCUGACUUGUCCUGAUCCUUGUCACCAGCGUAAUACUCGUUCGCAGGCUCAACGAUUUUGUCUGUGUCCUGGGGAUUCUGUCGCGAGUCCGGAUCCGGUUCUGGUUGCCUCUCCUCCUCAGGCGGCAACGCGUCGCACGGGACGUCCUGCAUCUGCACGCUCGGCGAAUGCUGAAUCAUCUUGAGAUUGUCAUAAACGUGUCGCGUGAUUGCCUCCAAAUACUGUUUACUGUUGGCAUUAUCCUGUCUAGUCACGACCUCGGGGUGCAGGCUAAAGUCCGGGGCGAAAUACUCCAAAUAUUCCGUGUACGGUAGCUCGUUGCUAAUCUGUUCGUCGACGAGUAGAGACGUCUCGUAGGUCCAGCAUCUAGCAACAUUUCGCAAGGUGUAACCACCACCGCCAACAGUCAACAAUGGUACAUUCAAGUCCCUCACAAACUUGACGCACUCGCCAUGGCCCUUGGUGCUGAGGCUGAAGCAACCGAGUCGAUCGUUCGCGAGGGAAUCUGCACCACAUUGAAGCACAAUCGCCGUAGGUUGAAAGAACUCCAUGACGUGGGAAAUGACGGGCUUGAAGACCUGGAUGUACGAAGUAUCGUCAAUUCCUUCCUUAAGUGGAACAUUCACCGAAUAGUACCGACCACUCUCGGCGCCGAUCUCGUACAUAUCGCCGGUACCGGGGAAGAAGUAAUUGCCGUAUUUGUGAAAGGACACCGUCAUAACACGAUCUGUCAAGUAGAAGGCUUCCUGCACGCCGUCUCCAUGAUGCACGUCGAUGUCGAUAUACAAUACUCGGGCGCGAUACUUAAGCAAUUCAAGAAUAGCGAUCACUAUAUCGUUGAUGUAGCAGAAACCGGACGCCUCGAAUUUUUUAGCGUGAUGCAAACCACCGCUCCAGUUCACGGCGAUGUCGCAGCAGUUGUUGUUCAACUUGGUGGCACCGUCUAACGAUGCUCCGGUGUACAUGGAGCAGAAGUCGAACAGGCCAUCGAACACUGGGCAGUCGUCGCCCACGUUGAAAUGCGUCAGAUACUUGGUAUAGCCCUGGAGAUUUUGCGGAGUGACGCGCUGCAAAAACUCCACGUAGUCCUCCGAAUGGAAGCGACACAUGUCGUGGGUGCUGGCGCGAUACGGGCGGUAGAUCUGCAUCUUCCUGUGGAGGCCGUAGUUGAGCACCAGGCUGUGGAUCACGGACAGUCGAUGGGGCUUCAUAGGGUGGCCGGGUCCAUAAUGGAAGUUACCCACCUCCGGGUUGUAAAAGUAUGCGACCUUCUUGUUGUAGCUCAUGUUUGGGGUUAGCUAAAAGUCGCGUGAAAAGGUAAAGAAAAACUGGAAAUAUUAUCUUAAGAUAAAUCUUAUUUUCGAAGAAAAACAUUGUAGCUACGAACCUCAUAUUCCCAUCGGAAUAAAACGUACUCUGCUCAAAUCCUGUACUGAAGCAUUCGGAGAGGUUAACGAUUCAGAUUUAACGUAGUCACUUCGAUGAGCGAUGAAAUUUCGAGUUUAAUUCCUGAGGUUUGCGGACGCAUUGAAUAACAAUUCGCUCUCUUUGUUAAUAAUAAAAAAAAUUUGAUCUCUAAUGACAGCUACAGAGACCCUGUAUACAGGGUCUCUCGACAGAUCGGACAAGACGCGACAUCGGUUAUCCUCUUUUAUGCCCGCUUCUAUUUGUCACGUGACUGAUUUUAGUUCACUCGUAAUCCGAACAGCGGCGUUGAAACCGAUCUUCUUGUCUCGUUUUUCAUCAUUUGUGUGAAUACACAUAUCGUGCAACUAAGAAGACAGAUACAAUGGAAGCUAAUCAGAGAAAGCAAUGACAUAAUCAAUCUGUGGAAAUAUCUAUGUUGCGAUAAGGAUUAUAUGAUCGAGAUGAUCAUCGGACAUCUACUAUUCGCAACUUACCCUGAUGGAGGUAGUCACUAAGUUCCAGAGACCAGCUUGCAUCAUGUCUCUUUCAAGAUAUACCUUGGAUCCCGAUAUUAAAAGAAUGACAGAAAGGGAAAGGUUCCACGGCAGUGAAACGUAAAGCUAAAAAUUCUACACCGGUUAUCGCUGGUUAUCACGAUAGGUUAUCGCUUUACUUCAUCGACGUUGAUAAGUCAGAGUCGGUGAAAUGUUCGCAGAUUACGACGCUGGAUGGCGCCACAGUUGUU